CAGCAGCCGCGGUAAAACGUAGGUGGCAAGCGUUGCUCGGAAUCACUGGGCGUAAAGGGUGCGUAGGCGGGUCUUUAAGUCAGGGGUGAAAUCCUGGAGCUCAACUCCAGAACUGCCUUUGAUACUGAAGAUCUUGAGUUCGGGAGAGGUGAGUGGAACUGCGAGUGUAGAGGUGAAAUUCGUAGAUAUUCGCAAGAACACCAGUGGCGAAGGCGGCUCACUGGCCCGAUACUGACGCUGAGGCACGAAAGCGUGGGGAGCAAACAGGAUUAGAUACCCGCGUAGUCCCUGUCUCUUAUAC
rnacentral:rRNA from 1 species